UAAGAAAAAAAUAAAAAAAGGGGAAAAAUCCACGAAAAACCUGCUAGAUGAGGGCCUGCGGUCACAUCCGUGUGGCCCUGUGUGUCAGCCCCUGCGUGACACCGUGCAGGCAUGUCCGCGCACUGUGCACGUAGACAUGCACGCAAGUGCCUACGCAUGCUCUAUGCGUGCACAAUGCACGACAUGUUUGCUUGUGCGCGUGCAGCCCACGCAGGC
rnacentral:lncRNA from 1 species